UGCCAGCCGCCGCGGUAAUACGGAGGGUGCAAGCGUUGUUCGGAAUUAUUGGGCGUAAAGCGCGUGUAGGCGGUUCGUUAAGUCUGAUGUGAAAGCCCGGGGCUCAACCCCGGAAGUGCAUUGGAAGCUGGCGAACUUGAGUACGGGAGAGGAAGGCGGAAUUCCGAGUGUAGGAGUGAAAUCCGUAGAUAUUCGGAGGAACACCAGUGGCGAAGGCGGCCUUCUGGACCAAUACUGACGCUGAGAUGCGAAAGCGUGGGGAGCGAACAGGAUUAGAUA
rnacentral:rRNA from 1 species